GACGAACGCUGGCGGCGUGCUUAACACAUGCAAGUCGAACGGAAAGGCCCUGCUUUUGUGGGGUGCUCGAGUGGCGAACGGGUGAGUAACACGUGAGUAACCUGCCCUUGACUUUGGGAUAACUUCAGGAAACUGGGGCUAAUACCGGAUAGGAGCUCCUGCUGCAUGGUGGGGGUUGGAAAGUUUCGGCGGUUGGGGAUGGACUCGCGGCUUAUCAGCUUGUUGGUGGGGUAGUGGAUUACCAAGGCUUUGACGGGUAGCCGGCCUGAGAGGGUGACCGGCCACAUUGGGACUGAGAUACGGCACAGACUCCUACGGGAGGCAGCAGUGGGGAAUAUUGCACAAGGGGCGGAAGCCUGAUGCAGCAACGCAGCGUGCGGGAUGACGGCCUUCGGGUUGUAAACCGAUUUCGCCUGUGACGAAGCGUGAGUGACGGUAAUGGGUAAAGAAGCACCGGCUAACUACGUG
rnacentral:rRNA from 1 species